rnacentral:rRNA from 1 species
UACAGAGGUCCCGAGCGUUGUUCGGAUUCAUUGGGCGUAAAGGGUGCGUAGGUGGCGCUGUAAGUGGGGUGUGAAAUCCCGGGGCUUAACCCCGGGACUGCAUUCCAUACUGCGGUGCUUGAGGACUGGAGAGGAGACUGGAAUUUACGGUGUAGCAGUGAAAUGCGUAGAGAUCAUGAGGAAGACCAGUGGCGAAGGCGGGUCUCUGGACAGUUCCUGACACUGAGACACGAAGGCCAGGGGAGCAAACGGG